rnacentral:sRNA from 1 species
CUCUUUACCACAGCCUCGCGACUAAUGAGAAUACUGAUCUUCAAAUUAUCAGUGCUCUCAUUAGCCGCGCGAAUCGGUUGUAGCUAAAGAGGCUUCAUUAAAAACAAUUAAUUACACUUUACAGCUUAGCAUUUAAGUUAAGUAUAAUUCGAGCAUUACUUCAACUUUAAACACAACUUUUAGAAGAAAAGGGGCCUAUUGGCCCCUUUCC